UGCGCUAGCUUGUAACUCAAGUGAGGGCAUGAGAGUGGUGGAACAACGGUUCGACUCAUUUGGCAGGGUUGGUUUGUAGCAAUUUGCUGGCCCGCCCGGUCCAAGUUGGGAGUUGAGUCAUGUGGUCUUUGCGAAAGCUUGAGCCACGUGUCUCCUGGAGUGGAGGGCACAGCGUGAGGGUGGUUUCACAGAGCAGCGAAAACCUCCCGCUCUCAACGGUGGAAGGAUAACGGGUCGGUGCUCUCCCAGCCCGUAUUGUCAGAUGGUU
rnacentral:SRP_RNA from 1 species